rfam:Vibrio angustum S14 1099604003231 genomic scaffold, whole genome shotgun sequence.
CAAGGACUGUGAAGGGAACACUCUAGGAUAGAGUUCGGUAAGCAGGAUGUUUACCUGUCAGGAUGACAAAAGGAACACUUCAGGAAGAAGUAAAGGACACCUCCAGGAAGGAGAAGAGAGUCAUAACAGGAUGUGGUGACGGGUUAGGAUAGCCAAAGGAACAACUUCAGGAAGAAGCGCAAGGACAAUGCUGAAGGUAUCGGCAGUCAAAGGAAUGAGGCAAGGAGCACUAUAGUAGCGGGAAUGCUGCAAGUAAGACCUAAGGGCGUGACGAAAGUCACGCCCUCUCUUUUUGUU